rnacentral:rRNA from 1 species
CCUACGGGUGGCUGCAGUGGGGAAUAUUGGACAAUGGGGGGAACCCUGAUCCAGCCAUGCCGCGUGUGUGAAGAAGGCCCUCGGGUUGUAAAGCACUUUCAGUGAGGAAGAACGCCUGGUGGUUAAUACCCAUCAGGAAAGACAUCACUCACAGAAGAAGCACCGGCUAACUCCGUGCCAGCAGCCGCGGUAAUACGGAGGGUGCGAGCGUUAAUCGGAAUUACUGGGCGUAAAGCGCGCGUAGGUGGCUUGAUAAGCCGGUUGUGAAAGCCCCGGGCUCAACCUGGGAACGGCAUCCGGAACUGUCAAGCUAGAGUGCAGGAGAGGAAGGUAGAAUUCCCGGUGUAGCGGUGAAAUGCGUAGAGAUCGGGAGGAAUACCAGUGGCGAAGGCGGCCUUCUGGACUGACACUGACAAUGAGGUGCGAGAGCGUGGGUAGCAAACAGGAUUAGAUACCCUAGUAGUC